CUGACCGUAGCUCAGCUGGUUAGAGCGCCAGAUUGUGGCUCUGGAGGUCGCCGGUUCGAUUCCGGUCGGUCAGCCCACAC
rnacentral:tRNA from 1 species